UACGUAGGGUGCGAGCGUUAAUCGGAAUUACUGGGCGUAAAGCGUGCGCAGGCGGUGCACUAAGCCAGACGUGAAAGCCCCGGGCUUAACCUGGGAAUGGCGUUUGGGACUGGUGUGCUGGAGUAAGGCAGAGGGGGGUGGAAUUCCAGGUGUAGCAGUGAAAUGCGUAGAUAUCUGGAGGAACACCAAUGGCGAAGGCAGCCCCCUGGGCUAUUACUGACGCUCAUGCACGAAAGCGUGGGGAGCAAACAGG
rnacentral:rRNA from 1 species